rnacentral:rRNA from 1 species
AGCGAACGCUGGCGGCAGGCUUAACACAUGCAAGUCGAACGGGCACUUCGGUGCUAGUGGCAGACGGGUGAGUAACACGUGAGAACGUACCUUUCGGUUCGGAAUAAUACAGGGAAACUUGUACUAAUACCGGAUACGCCCUUCGGGGGAAAGAUUUAUCGCCGAUAGAUCGGCCCGCGUCUGAUUAGCUAGUUGGUGAGGUAAUGGCUCACCAAGGCGACGAUCAGUAGCUGGUCUGAGAGGAUGAUCAGCCACACUGGGACCGAGACACGGCCCAGACUCCUACGGGAGGCAGCAGUGGGGAAUAUUGGACAAUGGGCGAAAGCCUGAUCCAGCCAUGCCGCGUGAGUGAUGAAGGCCUUAGGGUUGUAAAGCUCUUUUGUCCGGGAAGAUAAUGACUGUACCGGAAGAAUAAGCCCCGGCUAACUUCGUGCCAGCAGCCGCGGUAA